GCCCCUUUAGUACAGGGACACAGCCCGCGCAGCACAGCCGUGCAGGUUGAGCCCCUUUAGUACAGGGACACAGCCGUGCAGGUUGAUCCCCUUUAGUACAGGGACACAGCCGUGCAGGUUGAGCCCCUUUAGUACAGGGACACAGCCCAUGCAGCACAGCCGUGCAGGUUGAGCCCCUUUAGUACAGGGACACAGGCAGC